rnacentral:rRNA from 1 species
CCCUUAGAUGUUCUGGGCCGCACGCGCGCUACACUGAUGCAUUCAACGAGUCUAAAACCUGCUCUGAUAGGGGUGGGUAAUCUUUUGAAUGUGCAUCGUGAUUGGGAUAGAUGAUUGCAAUUUUUCAUCUUCAACGAGGAAUGCCUAGUAAACGCAAGUCAUCAGCUUGCAUUGAUUACGUUCCUGCCCUUUGUACACACCGCCCAUCGCUCCUACCGAUUGAAUGAUCCGAUGAAUAUCAUGGAUUGAGGAUGCAAGUAGGUUAGCCUAUCUUCAUCUUCGAGAAGUGAAGUAAAUCUUAUCAUUUAGAGGAAGGAGAAGUCGUAACA